UUUAACUUGGCAGAAAAAUGCGCUUGAUUUAGGGUCAAUUUAUAAAAAAAUUUUAGUUAU
rnacentral:tRNA from 1 species